AUGAACGCUAGCGGCAGGCUUAACACAUGCAAGUCGAGGGGCAGCAUGAGACGGAGAUUCGUCGAAGUCUUGAUGGCGACCGGCGCAAGGGUGCGUAACGCGUGAGCAACUUGCCCGUUUCUGGGGAAUAACCGGUGGAAACGCCGACUAAUACCCCAUAGUAUCAGAUUGAGGCAUCUUUAUCUGAUUAAAGAACUUCGGAAACGGAUAGGCUCGCGUGACAUUAGCUAGAUGGUGAGGUAAUGGCUCACCAUGGCGACGAUGUCUAGGGGUUCUGAGAGGAAGGUCCCCCACACUGGAACUGAGACACGGUCCAGACUCCUACGGGAGGCAGCAGUGAGGAAUAUUGGUCAAUGGUCUGACGACUGAACCAGCCAUGCCGCGUGAAGGUGACGGCCCUAUGGGUCUUAAACUUCUUUUGUAAGGGAGCAAUAAGGUCUACGUGUAGGCCGAUGAGAGUACCUUACGAAUAAGCAUCGGCUAACUCCGUG
rnacentral:rRNA from 1 species